rnacentral:snoRNA from 1 species
GGGUCAUUUCCAAGAGGUGCCAGGGACCAUGAAACCGCAGCUAUUCAUUCACGUAUGACCAAAGUCUGAAGGUCUCUGCAGGAUGCCAGCCGCUCCACAGAGCUCUGUUCUCCCGAGGAACUGUCAGA